AGCCGAAGAUCAGAGACGGAUUGAUCCUAGCGAUGCAGAGAAGACACUACACUCUUAAGUCUCCUAUUAAAACUGGAUGGCGGGAAAUACGGAAUCUCGCGCGAACAUUCAUAUCCAUCUAGGGUUUCGAAUUCUCCCAUAAACCCCGUUCAAUUUGAGGGUUAGCAGGAGAUACAAAUCCCCAAAGAUUUCAAAAUUAAGCCCAAAUUCUUCAGAAGAUUAUUUCCUUUACAAAUAAAAUUGGGGGAAUUCCCUGCAGGUAUUACAGGAAUGGGUAACAAAGUACCUGAAGAACUUGUUUCUACGGUCCGGUCCAUCGUCGGCGAUGAGUACACCGAGAUGGAUAUAAUUCGAGCUCUUCAUAUGGCGAAUAACGAUGCAACGGCCGCAAUUAACAUCAUUUUUGACACCCCUGGUUUCAAGAAGUUAGAAUUUAGGAAAACCCCUGAGCCACCCAAUCUUAAUUCAAGCUCAGGGACACAAUGUCUAGGUUCAACUACAAGGAGAAGUAGUAGUGAGGGUGAGAAAUGUGAGCGUAGUACGAUUUCAGCUAAUGGUUCACAGCUGAAGAGUGAGAACCGGGAGAGUAAUAAUGGGUGCAUAAGCGAUGCUGAUGGGUGUGAGAUGGGGAGUGAGUGGUGGUUUGUGGGUACUAGUGAGGUUUCCGGCCUCUCAACCUGUAAAGGGAGAAGUUUGAAGCCCGGAGAUGAAGUAUAUUUCACUUUUCCUUCUGAGAAGAAAUUGAAUUCACCAUCCUUGGCGAAAUUUGGCCGAGGUCGACAGGUGGUUGCUUGUUCUGAAAUUGUGCGGUUCUCUUCAAAGGCACUUGGAGAGAUUGGAAGAAUUCCAAACGAAUGGGCUCGAUGUCUCUUGCCACUUGUGAGGGAAAAGAAGGUUAGGGUUGAAGGAUAUUGUAAAUCUGCUCCUAACGUAUUGGGGAUUAUGGACACGGUAGUUUUGUCAGUCAGUGUGUAUAUUAACAGUUCCAUGUUCCGUAAAAGCCAUAAGACCCUCCUCAAGGUGGCUACCAACAAUUCCACAGAUGAAUCAAUUGUUUAUCCCCUUCCAACAUUGUUUCGAUUGCUACGACUUACGCCUUUCCAGAAGGCAGAGUUUACUCCAGGCGAUCUUUACAUGAGGAAGCGUCGUUUGAUUGAAGAGAACAGUUCUGGCAUUCAUACUUCACCAUUGCAUGUUAAUAAAUUCAAAAAAUUGGUCACAAAUGAAGGUGAAGCUGACGGUGAUGAGUCGAUCUCUGAUACUGAUCUGGAAAAUAUUGUGGGUUUUGCUGACAACUCUGAGUUAGAGGAAAUGGAACCUCCUAGUACACUUCAGUGUGAACUUCGUUCUUAUCAGAAGCAGGCUCUUCACUGGAUGACUCAACUUGAGCAGGUUCACAGUGUGAAUGAUGCAAAAACAACUUUGCAUCCGUGUUGGGAAGCAUAUCGCCUUGCAGACAAGAGAGAUCUAGUGAUCUACUUGAAUGCAUUUUCUGGGGAUGCAACAACAGAAUUUCCAAGCACCCUUCAAAUGGCCAGGGGUGGAAUUUUGGCAGAUUCCAUGGGGCUUGGAAAGACUAUUAUGACUAUAGCUCUCCUUCUGAGUUGUACUGAAAGAGGUGGAUCACCAGGAAGCCAGCCAACAAGCCUGCCUUCCCAUGAAAAUGGUGAUACCAGUGAUAUCUCAGAUCAAUCUCCAACUCCUUCAAAGAAAGCAGCAAGAUUUCCUGGUCUUGAGAAGUUUUUGAAACAAAAACCAACAUUAAAAUCCGGUGGCAAUCUGAUUGUAUGCCCUAUGACACUUUUAGGCCAGUGGAAGGCAGAGAUUGAAAUGCAUGCAUGCCCAGGCACUUUAAGUCUUUAUCUUCAUUAUGGACAAAGUAGAUCAAAGGAUCCAAAGUUUAUUGCUCAAAGCGAUGUUGUACUAACAACAUAUGGAGUUUUGGCAUCAGAAUUUUCUAGUGAGAAUGCUGAGGAGAAUGGGGGGCUUUUCUCAGUUAGAUGGUCUAGAGUUGUGCUUGAUGAGGCUCAUACCAUAAAAUCUUCUAAAAGCCAAAUUUCUAUAGCUGCAUCUGCUCUUAUUGCUGAGCGUCGGUGGUGUCUAACUGGUACGCCCAUCCAGAACAACAUUGAGGAUGUUUACAGCCUCCUAAGGUUUUUGAGGAUUGAACCAUGGGGAAGCUGGGCAUGGUGGAACCAACUUGUUCAGAAACCCUUUGAGGAGGGAGAUGAGAGAGGAUUGAGGUUGGUUCAAUCAAUUCUUAGACCUAUAAUGUUAAGAAGAACAAAGUCUAGCACUGAUCGAGAAGGCAGGCCAAUUUUAGUUCUUCCACCAGCAGACAUUCAAGUAAUAUACUGUGAAUUCACUGAAGCAGAAAAGGACUUUUAUGAGGCCUUGUUCAAACGAUCAAAGGUGAAGUUCGAUCAGUUUGUUGAGCAGGGGCGGGUUCUCCAUAAUUAUGCUUCUAUUUUAGAGUUGCUUUUACGACUUCGCCAAUGUUGUGAUCAUCCAUUUCUUGUGUUGAGUCGAGGUGAUACUCAAGAAUUCUCAGAUCUGAAUAAGCUUGCUAAACGUUUCCUUAAGGGUGGUCAGAAGACUGGGGAAAACCAUGUUAAAGAUGUUCCCACUCGUGCUUAUAUUCAAGAGGUUGUGGAAGAGUUGCAGAAGGGAGAACAAGGAGAGUGCCCAAUAUGUCUGGAAGCUUGUGAAGAUGCUGUGUUGACUCCAUGCGCCCAUCGAUUAUGUCGAGAGUGCCUCUUAGCAAGUUGGAGAAGUUCUGCAUCUGGUUUUUGUCCUGUUUGUAGACUGUCAGCAAGCAGGAACUGAUCACAGCACCAACAGAUAGCCGUUUCCAGAUAGAUGUUGAAAAGAAUUGGGUGGAAUCAUCGAAAGUUACUGCAUUGUUGCAUGAACUAGAACAAUUACGUGCUGUAAACUCCAAAAGCAUUGUUUUUAGUCAGUGGACUGCCUUUUUGGACCUCUUGCAAAUUGCUCUUGCUCGGAAUGAUAUCCCUUUUCUUCGCCUUGAUGGGACUCUAAACCAGCAACAGCGUGAGAAAGUAAUAAAAAAAUUUUCAGAAGAAGAUAGUGUUUUGGUGUUGUUAAUGUCAUUGAAGGCUGGUGGUGUCGGAAUAAACCUGACGGCAGCAUCCAAUGCUUUUGUCUUGGAUCCAUGGUGGAAUCCGGCUGUGGAGGAACAAGCUGUGAUGCGUGUCCAUCGUAUUGGACAAACAAAAAGAGUUGCAAUCAAACGGUUCAUUGUGAAGGGAACAGUUGAGGAGAGAAUGGAGGCAGUGCAAGCCAGGAAACAGCGUAUGAUUUCUGGCGCCCUAACAGACCAAGAAGUGCGAACAGCACGAAUUGAGGAACUUAAGAUGUUUUUCACAUAGAAAGCUUCUUCUUCUACUACUUGAUCUCUGAAGCUUUUCAUUUCAGAGUAAGAACGAAACUCAACAACGCAAAACAACUGCUCGUGUAGAUGUGUACUAAAUGUAUUAUAACUUUUCCGGUCACAAAUGCAUCCGGGAUUGGAGAUUUGGCAGUAAGACUGCUUGCAGAGUUAGGAGUACAUUAUUCUAGUGUUCUGUUGUAAUGCUCAACAACACAUUAGAGAUAGUUUUGAAGCCCCUCAACUGCUACACAAUAUUAUUAAUUAAUUUGUGUAAAUUUUUGCAAUCUAUUUGUGACAAAAUCAAACCGGCAGUUAAUUUCUAUAAGGGGAUGUUAGCUUGAAAAUAUUUUUCAAGGAAC